rnacentral:rRNA from 1 species
AACGAACGCUGGCGGCAGGCCUAACACAUGCAAGUCGAACGAGAAGCCACCUUCGGGUGGUGGACAGUGGCAGACGGGUGAGUAACGCGUGGGAACGUGCCUUUCGGUUCGGAAUAACCCAGGGAAACUUGGGCUAAUACCGGAUACGCCCUUCGGGGGAAAGAUUCAUUGCCGAAAGAUCGGCCCGCGUCGGAUUAGCUAGUUGGUGGGGUAAUGGCCCACCAAGGCGACGAUCCGUAGCUGGUCUGAGAGGAUGACCAGCCACACUGGGACUGAGACACGGCCCAGACUCCUACGGGAGGCAGCAGUGGGGAAUAUUGGACAAUGGGCGAAAGCCUGAUCCAGCCAUGCCGCGUGGGUGAAGAAGGCCUUAGGGUUGUAAACCCCUUUCAGCGGGGAAGAUAAUGACGGUACCCGCAGAAGAAGUCCCGGCUAACUCCGUGCCAGCCGCCGCGGUAAGAC